ACUCUAAUUAUGCAGUCAGCCUAAGCCCGAAUCUAACAGAAACGGUGAAGGGAAAAUUGAGCCUUGGGGCAAAAAUUCUUAAAGUAGGAGGGUUGGAGAAAAUAUUCAAGCAGAAGUUUAGUGUUAAAGACGAUGAAAAGCUAUUGAAGGUUUCUCAAUGCUAUUUAUCAACUACAGCUGGUCCAAUAGCAGGCCUCCUCUACAUCUCUACUGAUAAGAUUGCUUUCUGCAGCGAGAGAUCAAUAAAGCUCCUAUCUCCAACUGGAAAGUUGAUUAGAAUCCGCUAUAAGGUACCACUGCUCUUCGUUUCUUUCAUCUCUAAUUUUCUAGCCACGUAAAGCAUAAUCUAAUAGGCCGGUUCACAAUUACAGGUAUCAAUCCCAAUAAGUAAGGUAAUGAAAGCAAAAGAGAGUGAAAAUAUGAAAAAUCCAUCACAGAAGUAUAUACAAGUAAUUACAGAAGAUGACUUUGAGUUCUGGUUCAUGGGAUUCCUUAAUCAUCAAAAGACACUGAGAUAUCUGCAGCAUGCAAUUUCAAGUACUUCAAGCAGCUAGGAAAAACUUUUAUUUUUAAUUUUGUUUCCUAACACGCCCAUUCAUCAAUGUAAAAACAAAUGUACAGAUCUGUUCAAACUUGUAACCAGCUCCAUUGGUCAAAGGAGGUUUUAGGUUUUGUAGGCUUUCAGCCUUAGUCGCUAAAACGAAUGAAUAGACUUAUUGUAAAACUAAUGCAAAUAGAAGGCUAAUUCAUCUUUCGGGACUUGGCCACAGUCAUCCCACAAUUUUCAUGACACCGCUCGUUAAUCUUGAUCCCUCCGUCCUUCACAUCAUUCCCACAGAUUCAACUUUAAUGUCAUAAUUUUUUAACUUCAACUUUAAUGUCAUAAUUUUUUAUCAUUAUCUUGUCUACCUUGAUUAUACAAUAUUAGUAAACUAACUUUGGAAAAUCUUACUAUGAACCUGAAGCUGGUGAAAAGAAUCUAAGAGCGAACCUUACAGAACUAUUUAGGAGUGGGUGCCACCACUCGAGACCGGAUCCAGUAAGGUUCUGUUAAUCAUGUCCCCUUCCCAACAGUUGUACCUUGUCUUGGAGCAUAUUUGGCUCUAUGAUAGAAAGCUUGCCGGAGAAAUCCAGGUAAUUAGGACUACUAAAAGUUUAAAAGUGCCAAAAAAAGAUCAUGUCAAGUUAGGGGAUAACAAGAAAUUCUGCAAAAUCGUAUACUCAAAACCAUAAAUAAAAAAUAGAGAAGCAUAUGAUAAUAUCUAUUGAAACAUAAGUUUUCAAGUAAAAAUAAGAAAUAAAACUUCCAUGCUGACUGUAAAAAACGAGGGCCAUGAAUGGUAUUUGAUGAGUCGAUUUACAACGAAAAGGAAAAAAGACAAUUAGGCUGAAUUAGACUAACCUUACUAGUUUUGAUAACGUAAUACAAUGAUCAAAGUAUAAGAAACAGUACUACGGCAAACAACAAGACAUUGCAUCCUGUUGAUUUGUGAAUAUUUACGAUUUUAUUUUGUAGGAUCUUAAUUGAUCUGAUAAAAUCAUAUUUGAUUUGCUAUAGAUAGUUAAGAUAAUUAGGUCAAAUAAGAUCAUAUCUUGAUUGUCAUAUCUGCUAGAAUCAAGCGAUUUGAUUCUGUGUGUGUUUGCUUUCCCGCACUAUAAAUUUGUAGCUCUCAGAUUACCAAUCUCACAUGGUAUCAUAGCAGUUUUAUUCUUCUGUUGCUGAUGACUAAAGCAGCAUUUACUGGGUUACAUCACCCAGGGGCAUUAAUAGAAGCCGAGAGUUCUAUUUAAAGGUUCGAGAGAUGAAGGAGUAGUGUAUUACACUUGUAUAUCAUCCAAAAGUUAGAGCGAUAUAAAUACAAGUAAAGGAAAGGCUAACUAACGUAACUAGAUAUCUAAAUCCCUAGAAAUCAGCUAGAGUAUUUUAUACAUUUUAUAGAGCACAAUUAAGGGAGAGAAAUCUGCAGAAAUCUGCACAAUAUUUACACAAUCAUUCAUGUCCCAAUACGCCCCCACAAGUAGAAGGGGGAAUCAAUAACCUUUAACUUGGACAAAUGUUGAUGAAAUAGCACAUGAGGCAAAGGCUUUGUAAGAGUGUUCGCGUGCUGAUCAGCAGGAUGUAAAUGUUGAACGAACACCUAUUUUCGCUGCACUUGAUCUCUAACAAAGUGAAAAUCAACUUCAAUAUGUUUUAUCCUACUGUAUAGUACCAUAUUUUGACAUAGAUCGGUAGAACCAACAUUAUCACAGUUGAUUAUGGGUGGAUUAGGUAGCUGCACAUGUAGUUCUACCAGAAGUUUUUAAACUCAAUUGACCUCAGCAAGAGCAGAAGCUACUGCACGAUACUCUACUUCAGUGGAGGAGCGUGCAAUAGAGCGUUGCUUCUUGGAUAACCAGCUAAUAGAAUUUGCACCAAGGUAUAGGAUAUAUCCAGAAGUAGAGUUCAUGUCAUUAAUGUCACCAACCUAAGCGGCAUCUGAAUACAUAAACAACCCAUGAUGUGUCUUGCUCGUUAUUUGUCAGCCAUGAUUUUUGGUGUAUUGGAGGUAUCGUAAGAGUUGCUUAACAAAGGACCAGUGCAUUUUUGUAGGAGCAUGCAUGAAUUAAGAUAAUUUGUUAAAAGAAAACUUAUAUCUGUUCUGGUGAAUGACAAAUAUUAAAGCUUACCAAGUACUUGACGAUACAAAGUGGCAUCCGUCGGAGGUGUGUCAUCUUUUAAGGAUAGUGAGGUAGUGGAACUCAUGGGAGUUGUAACAGACUUACAUUCAGACAUUUUAUGGGUAGCAAGAAGAUCUAAGACAUACUUGGCCCGACAAAGGACAAUCUCUUCUUUAGUGCGGAGAACUUCAAUACCCAAAAAGUAGUGGAGAUGUCUGAGGUCUUUGAGAAAGAAUCUUGCUGAAAGAACUUGGAUAGUUUUCUUGAUAACCUCAAAUUUGAUCCAGUGGUAAUUAUGUCAUUAACAUAUACAAGAAUGUAGACCAAUGCUUCAUUUUGAUGACAAAUAAAUAGAGAAGAGUCAGAGUUAGACUCUUGAAAGCCAAUUUAAAGCAAGAAUUGCUUUAACUUAACUCUUGAAAGCCAAUUUAAAGCAAGAAUUUAUUUAACUCACAGUACUAGGCUCGAGGGGCCUGCUUAAGUCCAUAAAUUACUUUUUUUUAAUUUGCACACAUAAUAAGGAAAAUCAGGAUGAGCAUUCCCACGAGGUUGACGCGUAUAAAUAUCUUCUUCAAGGUAUCCUUGGAGAAAUGCGUUAUUCACAUCCAGUUAAUGCAAAUGCCAAUUGUGUUGAACCGUAAGCAACAAAAUAAGUCUAACAGUAGAAGGUUUUACCACUGGACUGAAUAUAGAGUGAUAAUACACACCCGGUCAUUACGUGAAGCCCUUUGAAACUAGCCAAGAUUUAUACCUAUCAACACUUUCAUCAGAUUUAGUUUUGAUAUGAUAGGGCCAUUUGCAAUUAAUAAUAUUUUGAGAAGAGGGUAGCGGUACAAGAUCCCACGUCUUGUUGUUCAUCAAUGCUUCAAACUCAAGUUUCAUUGCUUCUUUCUAGUGUGCACUCUUUUGGGCUUGGUUAUAAGUGGUAGGAACUGGUUCAGUUAAUGCAACUGCAAGAUAAUCAAAUGCUUGCUUGGGUUUGGUGAUAUUUUUUGUGAAUGAGUAGUCGAUAAAUGGGUGGUUGUUGGAUAUGUGAGGAAGCUGUGGUGGAGGAAUGGUGAUGAUUAUGAGAUGAAAUGGAUGGAGAGGGAUUUGGAGUUGGUAUAGAUAAAGAGAUUGUCAGGGUGUGUCGAUUUCAGCGUUAAUACUGGAUUAGUGGUUGUGUGGUAGGUGGGACAACAGUAGGCCGUAUGGAGCAACCUGAGCCGAUGGCAGGAGUUGGCAUUGCUGCCAAAGAUGGACCUAAAGAUGAACCUGUAGGAGGAGUCACUGGUAAUUCGGGAGCAAUCUUGAUUGGCUGGAGAAUCUCAUAAUCCACUAGAGGCAUAGACUUGACACUAAGGUCAUUUGACUCUUUGUACAAUAUAUCCCACUUUAACUUUGAAAUUCUUUUGUCUUUCAAGGAUGAAAAUAUAUUAGAAAAAAGGAAAUUUAUUUUCAUAAAAAAUAACAUCUCGUGAAAUAUAUAUCCUUUGUGAAAUAGGAUCAUAACACUAAUGGUUGUGAUGGGUAUUAGAAUAGCCUAAGUAAACAAAAGGGGUGGACUUGGGUUCUAGUUUGUGUUUGGCAUAUAGUUUAAGCCAUGGAUAACAUAGGCAACCAAAAGUACGAAUGGAUUGAUAAUUUGGAAUUUCUCCAAAUAAUCAUUGGUAUAGACAAUCAUGAUAAAGUGUACAGGUGGGCGACCUGUUAAUUAAGAAUGUGGCUGUAAUUGAGGCCUGAUUCGACUUAUUAUGUUUGAGGAGAAACUCUAUGUUGAGAAGCUUGUUGUAUAGUUCCUCAUACGAGAUAGGUGUAUCUCGCGCUUGGAUAACUGUUGAAAUUGAAUCAUACGCAGGUCCUAGGCCACUGAGUAUUUUGACCGCAAGUUUGUCAGAUGGAAUAGGAGUUCUAGCCGUUGCAAGUUCAUUAGCGACAUUCCUGAUCUCGUGCAAGUACUCUGUCAUACUGUGAGAGCUUUUUGUGAUUGUAGGCAGAGAGUUUAGGAGACUAAAAACCUUUGUAUGUGAUUUAUUAGCAUACAGGUUAUGAAGUGUGUCCCACGCUUGCUUUGAGGUGGAAAUUUUGGCGAUUUCAAAGGUGAUUUUAGGAUCAAUAGAUGCUAUUCAGGCAUUGCGUAUCAACUAGUCUUGGCGAAAGAGUUUAUAGUUGGGAUUAGGUACCUCUUGGUUGUUGAGGGUUACCGUUUUUGAUGGUCCUGUCAAGGUUCCAUUAAGAUAGAAGUACAGAUCAUGAUCGAAAAUGAGAGAUUCAACCUACGCUUUCCAAAUGGCAAAGUUCAUUGGACCAGUAAGUUUUAGGGGAAGUUGGGAACUGGGGUUAAAUUGCACCAGAUGGCUGGGGUUAUUAGCAGGGAUAGUAGAAUCACUUGGAUUCACCAUGGAUGCCAUAGAACUAAAAGGAAAACUUGAAAGAGAUAAGAAGACUUAUUGGAUUUAGAAAGGCUCAGAUACCAUAAAAGUUCAAGAGACGAAGAAGGAGUAGUGUAUUAGACUUGUAUAUCAUCCAAAAGUUACAGCAAUAUAAAUACAAGUAAAGGAAAGGCUAACUAAGGUAACUAGAUGUAUAAAUUCCUAGAAAUCAGCUAGAGUAUUUUACACAUUUAAUAGAGCACAAUUAAGGGAGAGAGAUCUGCACAAUAUUUACACAAUCAAUCAUGUCCCAAUACUAUUAACAAAGUUUCGACCGGGACAACAAUGAACCAAGGAGGCGAUUCUUCUCAUUUUUCCUUUCAACUUACGUCACAUAAGUUGAAUGGAAAGAAUUAUUUGGAAUGGGCGCAAUCUGUCCAUUUAACAAUUGAUGGUCGUGGAAAAUUUGGGCACUUGACUGGAAAACGAGAAAGCUUGAACCAGGAGACCCAAAAAUGAAUGCCUGGAGUUCAAAAAACUCAAUGGCAGUGGCUUGGCUACUAAACUCCAUAGAAACUUCCAUAGGUAAACCAUAUUUAUUUCUUCACACUGCUAAGGAUGUUUGGGAGGUGGUUAGAGAAACUUACUUUGAUAUAGAAAAUGCCUCUCAGAUUUUUGAAUUAAAAAUUAAACUGUGAAAAGAAAGGCAGGGAGAGAGAAGUAUUACUCUUUACUAUAAUGAGAUGGUUUCCAUGUGCCAAGAAUUAGAUCAAUUCUAUAAUUAUGAAUGGGAAUGUUCGAAGGAUAGCGUAAAAGCAAUGAAAAAGGAAUAAAAUGAGAGGGUAUAUCUGUUUUUAGUAGGGUUGAACCAAGAUUUUGAAGAAAUUCGUUCUCGAAUUCUUGGAAAAAAUCCACUUCCCACUUUGAGGGAAAUAUUUUCUUAAAUUAGGUGUGAAGAAACAACGAGGAAUGUUAUGGUAAAACUAGAUUCCAAUCUGGAAGCAAAAAGAGUCAUCUGCUUUAGCUGUUGCGAAAAAUGAGAAUGACAAGAUAAAAAAGUCGUGGUGUGAUUUUUGCAAAAAAUACCAGAACACUCAUGAGAAUUGCUGGAAAAUCCAUGGAAAACUGCCCAAAUGGAACAAAACAAGGUAGAAAACUAUGGCAGCCAGGCCUUUCAGUGUACCAGUGAAGAACUGGGCUGAAAUCUUCAUGUCAUUAUUUACCGAGGAACAGCUAGAGCUACUGCACAAAACUUUCCAUUCUCAACUCCAAUCCAGUAAACCUAAUCCUUCUAUACCCACUUGUUCUUUUACCCAGUCAGGUAAUGUGCCAUGUGUUUUUUUUACAGAUUCUAUUAGUAUAAGCUCUUGGAUCAUAUCUUUAGGGGAUAGCGAUCUCAUGACAUGGAACUCCCAUUUUUUCUCAACUUAUACUAUUUUAGCAGGAAAUAAAAAAGUCAAAGUUGUUGAUGGCUCCAUCUCAACAAUUUCUGAGAAAGGGAUAGUCAAACUAACCCAUUUUUGACUCUUUUUGAUGUCUUUCAUGUUCCAAAAUUGUCUCAUCAUCUUUCGUCCAUCAGCAAGCUGACUUAGAACCUUAAUUGUCGUGCUAUUUUUGACGAUAUUUUGUAUGUAUUUCAGGACAAGGUCUCGGGGAGGAUGAUUGGCAAUUCUAGAGUCUAAAGGUCUCUAUUUUCUUGAAGAUGGCGAUAAUUCAGUAAAUUUUAGUUCAGCUUGUUUGAACUCUAUUCUAGUUGAUAAUAAAGUCAUGUUAUGGCACUAUAGACUUGUUCAUCCUAGUUUUAAUUAUUUCAAACUCUUGUUACCAUAGUUGUUUAUGAAUAAAACUACAUCCUUUUUUCAAUGUGAAUUUUGUGAAAUGGCUAAACACAAAUGUUCAUCUUUUUCAUCCCAAAGUUACCAUUCCACAAAACCCUUUAAGUUAAUCCAUCGUGUUGUUUGAGGACCUUCUAGGAUAGUAAUUGUAAAUGGAAAAAGGUGGUUUUUGAGUUUCAUAGAUGAUCACACCAAACAAACUUACGUGUACCUAUGGAAAGCCAAGGGGGAAGGAAAACAUAGAUUUGAGGCCUUUUAUAUUAUGUUUGAGACACAAUUUUAUGAGAAUAUUCAAAUAUUUCAGAGUGAUACUGAGAGAGAGUUUUUUAUUGACCACCUAAGAAAUUUUUUCACUUCUAAAGGAAUAGUGCACCAAAGUUCAUGUCUCGAUACACCCCAACAAAAUGGAGUAUGGCUCCAUCUCAACAAUUUCUGAGAAAGGGAUAGUCAAACUAACCCAUUUUUGACUCUUUUUGAUGUCUUUCAUGUUCCAAAAUUGUCUCAUCAUCUUUCGUCCAUCAGCAAGCUGACUUAGAACCUUAAUUGUCGUGCUAUUUUUGACGAUAUUUUGUAUGUAUUUCAGGACAAGGUCUCGGGGAGGAUGAUUGGCAAUUCUAGAGUCUAAAGGUCUCUAUUUUCUUGAAGAUGGCGAUAAUUCAGUAAAUUUUAGUUCAGCUUGUUUGAACUCUAUUCUAGUUGAUAAUAAAGUCAUGUUAUGGCACUAUAGACUUGUUCAUCCUAGUUUUAAUUAUUUCAAACUCUUGUUACCAUAGUUGUUUAUGAAUAAAACUACAUCCUUUUUUCAAUGUGAAUUUUGUGAAAUGGCUAAACACAAAUGUUCAUCUUUUUCAUCCCAAAGUUACCAUUCCACAAAACCCUUUAAGUUAAUCCAUCGUGUUGUUUGAGGACCUUCUAGGAUAGUAAUUGUAAAUGGAAAAAGGUGGUUUUUGAGUUUCAUAGAUGAUCACACCAAACAAACUUACGUGUACCUAUGGAAAGCCAAGGGGGAAGGAAAACAUAGAUUUGAGGCCUUUUAUAUUAUGUUUGAGACACAAUUUUAUGAGAAUAUUCAAAUAUUUCAGAGUGAUACUGAGAGAGAGUUUUUUAUUGACCACCUAAGAAAUUUUUUCACUUCUAAAGGAAUAGUGCACCAAAGUUCAUGUCUCGAUACACCCCAACAAAAUGGAGUAGAAGAGAGAAAAAAUAGGCAUCUUAUGGAAGGAACUAGAGCCUUAAUGUUCACAAGCGGAGUCCCUAAAUUUCUUUGGGGAGAAGCUCUUUUGACAUCCACCUAUCUUAUUAAUAGGAUGUCUUCCCUUGUUCUAGGUUUUAAAACCCCUUUCACUAUGUUCAAGACAUAUUUCCGUACUUAUAUAUUGACAACAUAUCUAUCUUUGAAAGUUUUUGGGUGUAGUGUAUUUGUUCACGUUCAUGAUCAUAAUAGGAGUAAACUUGAUUCAUGUACUAAAAAAUGUGUUUUUGUUGGCUAUGCCCCUAGUCAAAAGGGUUACAAGUGUUAUGACCCAAUUACUAGGAAGGUUAUUGUUACAAUGGAUGUCACCUUUUUUGAAUCACAACUAUUUUUUGAAACUCAUCUUUAGGGGGAGAAACAUAGUGAAUAUUCGAGGGAUUCGAGGGAUGUUAUAAAGAUCUUCUUGACCUCACAUGUGAGAAACAAAAGGAUCUAGGUUUUAUGAUAGACAGAGGAAAUAGCUUUUUUGGUAAUAACAACCUAGAUAAGGUAAGAGAUCCCAACUUAAAUAAUGAAACUAAGGAUACUGAGACAAUAGAGCAUUUUCAUGAUACAAUUAAUGACAAGAAUGGGAACAAACAAAGGAAUUAUAGGUUUACAUGAGAAGAAACCGAAACCAAGAAAAAGAGAUCAAGGACUCUCAUCAGAACCAAAUGUCCGCCCCACAAGAUCUCACUGAUACAUAAGGUAAUUCUCAGAACCUAAUUAUGAUUUACCCGUUGUUAGUUUAAACCUUAGUCUUCCAAUUUCCAAACAUAAAGGGGUAAGAAAAGUCACCAACUAUCCCAUGUCAAAUUUUGUGUCAUAAAGAAACUUGUCCCCUUCCUAUAUAGCUUUUCGUUCUCAAUUAUCUGGAAUGGAGAUACUGAGAAAUGUGCAAGAGGUUUUGAACGUUCUCGAGUGAAAGGAGGUAGUUCUUGAGGAGAUAAAUGCUCUAAAGAGAAAUGAAACCUGGAAAAUGGUGGAACUACCACGUGGAAAGAAAAUAGUAGGCUGCAAGUGGGUGUUCACUAUCAAGUUUAAAUCAGAUGGGUGCCUAGAGAGGUCUAAGGAACAUUUGGUAGAAAAAAAGAUUUACUCAUACUUACGGGAUUGACUAUUUUGGGACAUUUACACUAGUUUCCAAGUUGAAUAUAAUAAGGUUUCUUCUAACCAUUGCUGCCAACCUUGAUUGGCCCCUCCAUAACUAGACGUAAAGAAUGCAUUCUUGAACGAAAAACUCGAAGAAGAAGUCUACAUGGACCCUCCUCCAAGUUUUGAAGAAAGGUAUGAAACUAGAGCGUGCAAGCCAAAGAAAUCUCUUGACGGGCUCAAACAACCUCCAAGAGCUUGGUUUGAGAGGUUUACUUAGUUUAUGAACAAAUAAGGGCACACUCAAGGGAAAACAGUUUAUACCAGGUUCAUUCGACAUUAUCUUGAAGGAAUGACAACUAUCCUAAUAGUGUAUGUCGAUGAUAUUAUACUUAUAGGAGAUGACUUGUCCGAAAUGGAGAAUUUAAAGAAAAAUUUGGCCUCGGGGUUUGAGAUUAAAGAUUUUGGCCAAUUGAAAUAUUUUCUUGGCAUGGGAGUAGCGAGUUCAAAAGAAGGCAUUAUGGUGCCACAAAGUAGGUAUGUACUAGAUCCUCUAAAAGAGACAAGGAUGAGUGGUCGUCAUUCAGAUGAAACACCUAUUGAUCCUAAUAUAAAAUUUGAAAAUAAAGAAGGAAAUUCAGUUGACCACAAUCAAUAUCAAAGACUAGUGGGGAAGUUGAUCUACUUGGCACAUACUCGACCUGAUAUAGUUUUUUUUGUAAGCUUAGUCAGUCAGCUAAUGCACUCUUAAAAGGAACAACACCAAGAAGCAGUCUAAGGGAUCCUAAGAUAUCUUCAAAGUUCUUCGGGGAAAGGGUUAUUUUUCAAAAAAGUCAACAUAGGGGCUUUGAAAGUUUUAUAGAUAUAGACAAGGCAGGAGGUCUACAUCUGGAUAUUGUACAUUUAUCUCAGGAAAUCUUGUGACUUAGAGGAGUAAAAAGUAGAAUGUUGCAGCCCAUAGCAGUGUUGAAGUUGAAUACCGAUCUAUGGCCAUGAGAUUUGUAAAAUGAUUUGGCUUAAGAAGAUGAUGGAAGAACUCAAAAACAUUUGGUUUACUAAUGAAGUUGUAAUAUGACAAUAAAGCGACCAUAGGUAGUGCUCACAAUCUAGUUCAACACGACACAACAAAACAUUAUGAAGUGAAUAGGCACUUCAUAAAAGAGAAGAUUAAAGAAGAAAGUGUGUUCAUGCCUUUUGUCUCAACAAAUCAGAAAAUUUUAAAUAUUUUCAUAAAAGGCUUGUUUAAAUCAAAACGUGAAAUUCUUGUAAGCAAGUGGGGCAUGAUAGAUAUUUAGAUGCCAACUUAAGGGGCAGUGUUGAUUUAUGAAUAUUUAAGAUUUAAUUUUGUAGGAUCUUAAUUGACCAGAUAAAAUUAGAUCUAAUUUUCUACAUAAUUUAGGUAAUUAGAUCAAAUAAGAACAUAUCUUGAUUUUCAUAUCUGUAAGAAUCAAGCGAUUUGCUUCUGUGUGUGUUUGCUUUCUUGUACUAUAAAUUUGUAGCUCUCAGAUAAUAUAAUACACACUUUUGUACCAAUCUCACACAUCCUUUUGCCCUAAUUCGUAUCCUCCGUAGCCUCCUACAAAUAUCAUGUCCUUUAUAAGUUAAAACUGCACCAUGUCUAUUCUAAUCGCCUCUCCCCGCUACUUCUUUAGUCUACAUCUACCUUUCCUGAAACCAUUCAUGGACAAGCUCUCAUACCUCCGCCCUAGGCAUCCGUGUGUCUCCUCAUCACAUAUCCGAACCAUCUUAACCUCAUUUUUCUCAUCUUUUCCUCCACCAAAAACACUCUCACCUUCUCUCAAGUAUCCUCUUUUCUAAUCCUAUCUCUCCUAGUAUUCCAUAUAUCCAUCGAACAACAACAUUUGCAUCACUUUGAUCUUCUAAACAUGAGAGCCUUUGAUAGGCCUGCACUCUAUCUCAAACAACAUAGUUGGCCUAACCAUCACAUUGUAAAACUUGACUUUAUGUUUUAGUGGAACCUUCUUAUCACACAACACUCUGGAUGUGAGCCUCCAUUUUAUCUACCUUGUAUCAAUAAGGUGAGUAAUAUCCUCGUCAAUCUCCCCAUUUCUACGGAUAAUAGAUACAAGAUACUUGAAACUUCCUCUUGUUUGAUUAUUUAUAUUUUGAUUUAACUAAAACAUACUAAUUUUGAGAUUUUUUUAUUCUUCGAUUUUGCAUUAUAUAAUUUUGAGAUUUUCAUUGUUAAUAAAAUUAUUUACCUUAUCAAAAAAAAAAAUAUAGGGUUACUUUAUUUAAAAUAAGCUCUUUUUAUAAUUGUGGAACCCGUACCAGUUAACGUGCAUCUCAACUAAUUCCGGGGAUACUUGCUACAUCCCACUAGGACAAGAUAUUGAGUAACUAUGUCCACCAUGGCUUGGACCAGUGACAGUGAGAUGAUAGUAUGUCGUAAACAAAAAGGAGGCACAUACCUGAGCCUUAAACUUAAGAUGCUCAAAUGAUCAUAUAUAUAUAUAUAUAUAUAUAUAUUAAAAUUUUUAAUAAUUUUUUAUAUAUUAUUUUAUUAAUUAACACGAGACACACGUGCAAAGCACGUAUAUUAAACUAGUUUAUAAAAUAAUAUAUAAAAAAUUAUUAAAAAUUUUAAAAAAUGAUUUUGACUUUAUGAUAAAUGUUGUAUCUAUUUAAAUGAGACUUUGAUCAUGCACAAAGAACAAAAUCUCUUAACCAUUAUUAACCAAUAAUAAAGUAAUAAAAGAAUGACUCAAAUUUCAUGUAUAAAUUGAAAAGCCAAAAAAAAAAAAAUCAGUACUUAAAAUUGAUUUCAAGUUACCUAAGUUACAUGAUGGAACUCUUUAAAAUUAACUAUAGAAAAAUUAUAAAUUUUUAUUAAAAGUAUUCUAGAAAAGACAUCUUGAAAAAAAUAAAACAGUGAGACAAAAACACGCCAUAACAUUUGUCACCAAAGCCUUUGUUUCUUUAGAAAGCAAAUCACGAACUAUGUAACCUCACUAAUUUUUGUUCUUACCACUCUUAGAUUCUAUUUUUUCACUUUCUUUUUCAUAGUAGAACACAACUAUUAAGCUGAGACAAAAGUUCCAUUAAUUAGAUUUCAAAAUAAGCUUCUAAACAUAGUAUGUCAUUAGUUACUUCUUCGGGGACUUCACUUAAAGAAAGAAAUCAACUACGCGGAAGAAAUCAUUGUUUCAAGUUUAAUUAGAUUAUGCAAAUCUUAUAUAUUCAUUCAAAGAUUAGAGAAUAAAUAAUAUAUUAUUAUUAUUAUUAUUAUUAUUAUUAUUAUUAUAAUAUUUAAGUUUUAUUGCCCCCUCUCUCCUCCCUCUUCACUUUAAGCAAAUUUUAUUAUUAAAUAACAAAAAGGAAUGAGAUAAAACUUGUUUUUUUGGCUACUUUAUUUGUCAAAAAUAAUAUGCUUGUUUCAUCCAAUUUUUUUAUCUGAAAUUUUCAACUGACAAAGAAAACAUGAAAAAUUCUUAAAAAGGAAGAAUCCAUUGUCAAUUGUUACUACAAUUCAAAUUAAAAUUAUUAACUAAAAGAAAAAAAAAAGAAAUCCAAAAAGGAUGAUGAUAGUGAAUGCAAGAAGAUGACUAAUUAAAACAAUAACAAAAUAAGAUGAAAACAUAAAAGUAGAAGAAGCCGAUGUUCUAGUCAAAUUUAAUCCAAAAUAUUACUUGAAUAGAAUUUUUACCUUGAUUUUUAGAAUACUUUAUUCGACCACAACAAUAUGCUUGUUUCAUCCAAUUUUUUCAUCUGAAAUUUUCAACUGAAAAAGAAAACAUGAAAAAUUAUUAAAAUAAAAGAAUCCAUUGUCAAUUGUUGAUUAUUACAACUAUUAACUAAAAAAAAAAUUCAGAAAAAAUGAUGAUAGUGAUUGCAAGAAGAUGACUAACUGAAACGAUAACAAAAUAAGAAGAAAACAUAAAAGUAGAAGAAGCCAAUGUUUAUUGACAAUUUGAUCAAAAUAUUACUUAAAUAGAAUUUCAGAUUUUUUUUAUUUAAGGUAAAUUUUAACUAAUUUAAAAGUGUUAAAUUCAUGAUAAAAUAAGUUUUGGUAAAAUUAAAAAGAAAGUCCUUAAUCCUAAAUUUACAAAAACUUAUGUACCGCUAACCAGGGGUGGAUUCAGGAUUUUCAGUGAGGGGGUUCAGUAGUACAUAUAAGGACUAGUCGAAGGGGUUCAACCUCUACUAUUUAUACGUAAAAAAAAAUCUUACCAUAUAAAAAUAAUAUAAUUUUCCGACGAAGGGGGUUCGGAUGAACCCCUGGACCCUAUGUAGAUCCGCCACUACUGCUAACAUCCUCCCACUUUUUAAUUAGCCAAAAUUUUUUGUGUGCUUUUUUAGUUUUAAGAAAAAAACGUUUACUUCCUUAAUUAUUAAUAGUUUUUCAAAUAAUUCUUUCCAUAUAUUUGUUGUUAGUUGUUAUCAUAUAUUUUAGGACUUUUUAGUUUGUAAAACUUACCAUAUAUAUUAGAACUUCUUACUUUAAAAUACUAUAAAUAUAAUUAAAUAAUAAUUUAAGAAAAAGGUGAAAAGACAAUUUUGUCUAUUGCAGACUGUUUUAAUGCAGGGCAAAAAGUUCGAAUCAAUUUUGUAAUGUUCUUCACACUUUUAAUAUAUUAUAGAUAUAGAUGAUAGAUAUAGAUAGAUAUAUAUAUAUAAAUAAAUUUUUUUAAAAAACUUAAAACAUUAAAAUAGGCCAAAUAACAUUUAUAAUAAAUAAGAAAGGAAAGGGACAACUUUAAAAUUGUGAAAAGAUCAUUCAAGAUGUUCGGAGAAGAGAUUAACUCAAAAUGACUUGAUCUCUCGUAAAGAAAGCAUGUUUCUUAUACUGUCCUUUGUAGAUGGUAACAACAUGAUAAAGUUAUAACAACUUGGCUACCAACUCAAUCCAAUCAAACUAUAAGACUGGAUCCAUUGCUUGCUUGACAUGCUUCUCAUAUAUCUAGACAGUGAUGGACCUAAGAGAGUAGAAUACCAUCCUACAAACUCCACAGUCGAAAAAAACACCAGACACAUGUGCAUAUGUCAUGUGUACAUGGUCUGUUCCACGUAAAAUCAGCAAAAGAUGGCCUACAGAUCUGCCUUUACACCUCAAGCUGAGAUGAAAAAAGGCAAGAUAAGGUAGCUGCCUUAGAAGAGAAGUUAAUAUAAUCCAGUAUUGUUGGCCUACAUUAAAGAAUGAUUUGAACGGCUGCUUUCUUUCCUUUGCCUGAUUUAUUAAGCAACAAAUCAAAGUUUUAUGGAUGGCUUGCUCAUGUUUCAAAGGGGACAAUCAAGUGUGGAUCGCCUUUUUGUUUUAAGAUAAGGUAAAUGAAUUUCAUUCACAAACAAGGCCGGACGGCCAUAUAAAAUAGAUUAAACAUUAACUUUAAUGUCAUAAUCUUUUAUCAUUAUCUUGUCAACCUUGAUCAUACAAGAUUAGUAAAACUAACUUGAGAUAAUCUUACUAUGACCCAAAAGCUUGUGAAAAGAAUCUAAGAGCGGACCUUAAGGAACUAGUUAAGAAUGGAUGCCACCACCCCAGCCCGGAUUCAGCCAGGUUCUAAUGAUCAUGUCCCCUUACCAACAAUUGUACAGGUCUUGGGGCGUAUUUCGCUUUAUAAUAGAAAACUCGCCAGCAAAAUCCAGGUAAUUAGGACUACUAAAAGUUUAAAAGUGCACCGAAUAAAUCAUGUCACGUUUAGGGGAUAACAACAUAUUCUGCAAAUUAUAAACUCGAAACCACAAAUAAAAAAUAGAGAAGCAUAUCAUAAUACCAAUUGAAACAUAAGUUGCAAAAAAGAACUAAGAAAAUAGUUAGAAAAAGAUAAGAAACAAAAAUGAAUGUUGACUGUAAAGAAACAAGGGACAAUAAUGGUAUUUGAUGAGUCGAUUUGAAAGGAAAGGAGCAAAGUCAAUUAGGCUGAAUUAGACCAACCUUACUAGUUUUGAUAAGAUGACUUCAAAGUGGGAAGAUUUCUAUUACUUUUACACAACUUGUAAAAGUAGGUUACAUCACAAAGCAAACCUACAAACUCAAAAGUUGAAAACACCACAUGUGCAGGCCAAUCUUCAUACUAGAAUAAGCACAGAUCAUCUAUUUUGCUUUUUUCUGAUGACCCAUAGCUGACACAUGCAGCAAUUAGUAGUUAGAACAUUCAUCAACAUCUCCCACCGAACUUACUCGGUGGAAAUUCGGCGGGUAUUCCCUUAAGUUCAGCAGUAUGCUCACAUGAAAGGCAGCCAAAAAGGCGACUGGUCCUAUCUUGUUGUGAAGACCAUAUUGUUCCAUAUACAACUUCAAAGAACAUACCUAAAUUAAAGCAAAGUGAGUAUAACCCUUAUCUUGAUGAAGAAUCUAUUGUUCUUGUAGAAGUUAUUAUGAGUAUUAAUCACCCUUGAAUAAGAGAUCAUUAAGAUUGAAUAUUCUUGAAUAUGCAGGAAAAUCUGUGAUUGGUAAGAUGAACAAACUUGGAGAGAGAAUGGACUGUCUUCUGCAAGGCAUCCGCGAGCAUGGUAAACACUCAUAUAAAAUCUUGAUAGAUAUAAUAUAAGGAAAGAGUAUUUGAAAGUCGGCAAAACUUCAACUUGCAAAUAAUGAAUUUUAGUAUUUGGAAGUGAAGUCACGGCCAAACAAAACUGUAAACCUAAAGAACACAGAUAAGUGAGAAAUGAAGUGAUAAAUUCAUGCAAGCAGAACAAUUUACAUGUAUAUACAAUACAAAGUAUUGAUUGUAAUGACAUUAACGUCGCAACUCUAAUUAUGCAGUCAGCUUAAGCCCGAAUCUAACAGAAAUGGUGAAGGGAAAAUUGAACCUCGGGGCAAAACUUCUUAAAGUAGGAGGGUUGGAGAAAAUAUUCAAGCAGAAGUUUAGUGUUAAAGAUGAUGAAAAGCUAUUGAAGGUUUCUCAAUGCUAUUUAUCAACUACAGCUGGUCCAAUAGCAGGCCUCCUCUACAUCUCUAC
rnacentral:lncRNA from 1 species